rnacentral:rRNA from 1 species
GACGAACGCUGGCGGCGCGCCUAACACAUGCAAGUCGAACGAACUACUUCGGUAGUUAGUGGCGGACGGGUGAGUAACGCGUGAGGAACCUGCCUUUCAGAGGGGGAUAACGUCUGGAAACGGACGCUAAUACCGCAUGACAUAUCGGAGCCGCAUGGCUUUGAUAUCAAAGGAGCAAUCCGCUGAAAGAUGGACUCGCGUCCAAUUAGCUAGAUGGUGAGGUAACGGCCCACCAUGGCGACGAUUGGUAGCCGGUCUGAAGAGGAUGAACGGCCACAUUGGGACUGAGACACGGCCCAGACUCCUACGGGAGGCAGCAGUGGGGAAUCUUCCGCAAUGGACGAAAAGUCUGACGGAGCAAACGCCGCGUGAACGAUGACGGCUCGUGUAAGUUACGUG